CAGUACAAAAUCCUAACGCGUUGUCUAAACAACGCAAACCACUUAUGUUAAGUAAAAAAUUCUUACAUCCAGAGGGUGGCAGUAUAGUGCGAGCCAACUGCCAUUUUGCCCGAACCAAUGUUCUGUCCCAAUUCGCCUACUUAUAACAUGCCCUAAAAGUAAAAGUAUACUGUUUUUGUAAAGAAAAAGUACAUACUUUUGAGUGUGUAACAGAAUUGUAGGCAAGCUUUUAGACAUACUUUGUCAUAAUUAAUUUAACUGACAACUCUGUUGCUUAGUUACAUGCAUCAUGUCACUGUUUAAGUGCCUUGUCAAUCAUCUUGUCACAGUUCAAAUCCUUCACAUUCAGUUUCAUGUAAUAGGCUUUAUGUCGAGCGUCACGUGACCAAACCGGAAAACAGGUCUCAUCGCAUCCGCUUGUCAGAGAAAGUGUUCACGGCCGUAAGACUGACUACGUCUCUGGAUUUUUAAGACUUCUCUCUGGUGACGUCUUACCAGCUCAUAUUCAGAUCUGCCUCCAUCCAGUCAACAACCAAUGGAUAGAACCAAAUCCUGAGAAGCCCAUCCCUGGUCCUGACAUAUUUCAAAAUGAUGGUUCGCAUCUUCUCCUCAAAUCUUUCCUUUCCCUUUCAUCCUCUAAUGACAGACCUGCUCCUCAUUAUGGAACUGCAAAGCCUGCCAGACCCCAAACCCAAGCAGCCAAUUCUUCCACCCAAAUCAGGCUGCUCUCGUGAGCUUUGC